rnacentral:tRNA from 1 species
GGAAAGAUGCGAGAGCGGUCGAAUCGGGCGGUCUCGAAAACCGUUGUGCCGUAAGGUACCGGGGGUUCGAAUCCCCCUCUUUCCG